CCUACGGGAGGCAGCAGUGGGGAAUAUUGCGCAAUGGGCGAAAGCCUGACGCAGCGACGCCGCGUGAGGGAUGAAGGUCUUCGGAUCGUAAACCUCUGUCAGCAGGGAAGAACGGUCACUGUGCUAAUCAGCAGUGAAUUGACGGUACCUGCAAAGGAAGCACCGGCUAACUCCGUGCCAGCAGCCGCGGUAAUCCGGAGGGUGCGAGCGUUAAUCGGAAUUACUGGGCGUAAAGCGCUCGUAGGCGGUAUGUUAAGUCAAGGGUGAAAUCCCCGCGCUCAACGUGGGAACUGCAUUUGAAACUGGCUAACUAGAGUGUGUGAGAGGGAAGUGGAAUUCCAGGUGUAGGAGUGAAAUCCGUAGAUAUCUGGAGGAACAUCAGUGGCGAAGGCGACUAUCUGGCACACAACUGACGCUGAGGAGCGAAAGCGUGGGUAGCAAACAGGAUUAGAUACCCGGGUAGUC
rnacentral:rRNA from 1 species